rnacentral:lncRNA from 1 species
GGGUGAACAGGCAGUGGCUCGAGUGGUUGAUGUCCUUGAUGAUCUUUUUGGCUUUCCAGUGACAUCGGGUGCACCCGGUAAUAUGUUGGGCUUACCUCACCACCCUCUGGAGAGUCUUGCGGUUGCGGGCAGUGCAAUUUAGGGUGGAGUCACAUUCUGGCAGAAUAAAAAAUGGGGGGUCCCCGCUGGAAAAGUCUGAAUACCACUGAUAGUGGCUAUGGAGGUGGUGGAACUGGUUAUUUUGGAGGUGGUGGAACUGGUUAUUUUGGAGGUGGUGUAACUGGUUAUUUUGGAGGUGGUGGAACUUGUUAUUUUGGAGGUGGUGGAACUUGUUAUUUUGGAGGUGGUGGAACUUGUUAUUUUGGAGGUGGUGGAACUGGUUAUUUUGGAGGUGGUGGAACUGGUUAUUUUGGAGGUGGUGGAACUGGUUAUUUUGGAGGAGGUGGAACUGGUUAUUUUGGCGGUGGUGGAACUGGUUAUUUUGGAGGUGGUGGAACUGGUUAUUUUGGCAAUGACUAUUUUGGAGGUGGUGUAACUGGUUAUUUUGGCGGUGGUGGAACUGGUUAUUUUGGAGGUGGUGGAACUGGUUAUUUUGGAGGUGGUGUAACUGGUUAUUUUGGAGGUGGUGGAACUGAUUAUUUUGGAGGUGGUGGAACUGGUUAUUUUGGAGGUGGUGUAACUGGUUAUUUUGGAGGUGGUGUAACUGGUUAUUUUGGAGGUGGUGUAACUGGUUAUUUUGGCGGUGGUGUAACUGGUUAUUUUGGCGGUGGUGGAACUGGUUAUUUUGGAGGUGGUUGAACUGGUUAUUUUGGAGGUGGUGGA